UGAACGCUGGCGGCAUGCUUUACACAUGCAAGUCGAACGGUAACAGGCCUUCGGGUGCUGACGAGUGGCGAACGGGUGAGUAAUGCAUCGGAACGUACCCAGAGGUGGGGGAUAACGCAGCGAAAGCUGUGCUAAUACCGCAUGUGAUCUGAGGAUGAAAGCGGGGGACCGAGCAGCAAUGUUUGGCCUCGCGCCUUUGGAGCGGCCGAUGUCGGAUUAGCUAGUUGGUGGGGUAAAGGCCUACCAAGGCGACGAUCCGUAGCUGGUCUGAGAGGACGACCAGCCACACUGGGACUGAGACACGGCCCAGACUCCUACGGGAGGCAGCAGUGGGGAAUUUUGGACAAUGGGCGCAAGCCUGAUCCAGCAAUGCCGCGUGCGGGAAGAAGGCCUUCGGGUUGUAAACCGCUUUUGGCAGGAACGAAACGGUGUCCGCUAAUACCGGGCGCUAAUGACGGUACCUGCAGAAUAAGCACCGGCUAACUACG
rnacentral:rRNA from 1 species